GCAGGACUAUAGGCUCACCACGCCUCGGUACGGUAAGUUAGUCAGCCAUAUUGACUGUACCUCUCCUCCGGUAGUGGGAGCCUGGCGGAGGAGUCUCCAGUAUCACUGUCGGUACGCACCGUGCCCGGUAAACAGCGCAGAGGACGGGAAGGUCUAUUUUUACCCUCGCUGUGGAUAUAUAAAGUACAGCUGCCAGCUGGGGGGGUGACAGCCGGAUACAUCCUCAGCGCAGCCGGGCGAUAGGCGCUGCUGCCCUGAAGAAAGGCAGAAAGACGGACGACGACUUCUUUCAGUUUUCUCAUCAACAGGGGACGGGCCAAGACAGCAGAAAGAUGCCCAAACCUUGAAAACAGUUUGGACACCCCUGCUCUGAAUGAUACCUGUCUGGAAAAGGAUUCAGUUUACUGAGAAACAUCAAUCCAAAGCAGUCACUGAAUUUAAUCCGUGAGUUUGAGAAACGACGAGUCGGGAGAGGAGCUGUGAGGACGGAGAGAAAGAGAAAGUUGGAACCAACGAGUUAGUCUCAGAUUAUCCUCACACACCGACCGCAGGGAAGAAAAAGGCAAACAAAGGGAUAAAAGAGGAUUUGGGACAGGACUGAGUGACAGGCACUUUGUUCAUAUCCAGUCCAGAAAAACGACACCCAAGCCGCCCUCGAGGGGAACUCCCACUCCGGUUACAUUAGGCUUGGCUUUGACAUUAAGCCCGGCAGUUGGACAGUAAACACAUCAACCCUUUCACUGCUUCAUCUGUGCGUUCUCUGCUUGUUUUCUGCUAGAAGACACUUAAAUGUCACACUGGAUUAAGAGCUAAAGCUCAGAGGUCCCUGCAGGCUAAUAAUAAUUGAACAAGUAAGCUAGCACGGGUCGAUUAGCUCAUAGCUAAUGGAGAAGUACAAAAGAGCAAUAUAAAGAGAUGGAGAAGUGUACAGGUGAGGGAAGUGAACCCCCCACAAGGCCUUUAAAGAGUCUCUGCUCUGCGUGCCACUUAGAAACCGUCUGUUGUCUCCCAAAAGGCAAGACUAGCUAAAGGCUAGUCGGCCUCAGGCAUGCUAUUACAAGUGAUUUUGGCCUGGGCCGUAACCCUCCUUUAGGCUGUGUUUUAAAGGGUGUUGCCGUGUUUGCAUGCACCCCUAACACAACAUGGGUGUCUGCUGGUACUCAGGUAUUUAAUGUUGUUCAAGAGGGGGUGUAUAUGAAAUUGGGCUCUGUGUAAGCAUGCGCUAACCAGAACUGGACAAACAGGAAGUGACUACAUCAAAUUAGAAGAGGAAAUGCCAUGAAAUACAAUUCUUUUUAAAAAGAUACUAUAACCAACUUUAAUAAAACAUGAUAAGCUGUACAGAGUAAAUGGGCUUUGUUGCAUGAUCUGACAGUAUUUCAUCAGUAUAGAUUUCUUUAAAGGGAAAUAAUUGCAUUUUUACGUCAUGUUUUUAAGUAUUUUUACUCAAGGCUUAGUUG